AAUGCUGUCAAUUAGUUGAUUCCGUAAAAGAAUAUCGGAGAGUAUCCAAUCUAAACACAUCAUAAAUGUGUAAAAAUGUUUCAUGGAAAAAACACAACAAACAAACAAAGACAAAUACCAACACCAUCACCACGGUGAUAACAGAUAAUGCUGAUUCAAUAUCUACAACCAAUUCUAGCCAAAUAUUUGGAAAGCUGGACUCUACAACCUAAACUCUACAACAAAUACCCGGGUAUUCUACAAACACAACCUCCAGCAAUGUAUCUAAGGAAUGUAAACUUCUACAGGCCUUUGAAGACUUU